rnacentral:rRNA from 1 species
UACGUAGGGGGCAAGCGUUGUCCGGAAUUAUUGGGCGUAAAGAGCGCGUAGGCGGUCCGAUAAGUCGGCUGUGAAAGUCAGGGGCUCAACCCUUGAAAGCCGGCCGAUACUGUCGGACUAGAGUCCGGAAGAGGCAGGUGGAAUUCCCGGUGUAGCGGUGAAAUGCGCAGAUAUCGGGAGGAACACCAAUGGCGAAGGCAGCUUGCUGGGACGGUACUGACGCUGAGGCGCGAAAGCGUGGGGAGCAAACAGG